rnacentral:rRNA from 1 species
GAGUUUGAUCCUGGCUCAGGAUGAACGCUAGCGGGAGGCCUAACACAUGCAAGCCGAGCGGUAGAGUCUCUUCGGAGACUUGAGAGCGGCGCACGGGUGCGGAACACGUGUGCAACCUGCCUUUAUCUGGGGGAUAGCCUUUCGAAAGGAAGAUUAAUACCCCAUAAUAUAUUGAAUGGCAUCAUUCGAUAUUGAAAACUCCGGUGGAUAGAGAUGGGCACGCGCAAGAUUAGAUAGUUGGUGAGGUAACGGCUCACCAAGUCUGCGAUCUUUAGGGGGCCUGAGAGGGUGAUCCCCCACACUGGUACUGAGACACGGACCAGACUCCUACGGGAGGCAGCAGUGAGGAAUAUUGGACAAUGGGUGAGAGCCUGAUCCAGCCAUCCCGCGUGAAGGACGACGGCCCUAUGGGUUGUAAACUUCUUUUGUAUAGGGAUAAACCUACUCUCGUGAGAGUAGCUGAAGGUACUAUACGAAUAAGCACCGGCUAACUCCGUGCCAGCAGCCGCGGUAAUACGGAGGGUGCAAGCGUUAUCCGGAUUUAUUGGGUUUAAAGGGUCCGUAGGCGGAUCUGUAAGUCAGUGGUGAAAUCUCACAGCUUAACUGUGAAACUGCCAUUGAUACUGCAGGUCUUGAGUGUUAUUGAAGUAGCUGGAAUAAGUAGUGUAGCGGUGAAAUGCAUAGAUAUUACUUAGAACACCAAUUGCGAAGGCAGGUUACUAAGCAACAACUGACGCUGAUGGACGAAAGCGUGGGGAGCGAACAGGAUUAGAUACCCUGGUAGUCCACGCCGUAAACGAUGCUAACUCGUUUUUGGGAUGUAAGUUUCAGAGACUAAGCGAAAGUGAUAAGUUAGCCACCUGGGGAGUACGAACGCAAGUUUGAAACUCAAAGGAAUUGACGGGGGCCCGCACAAGCGGUGGAUUAUGUGGUUUAAUUCGAUGAUACGCGAGGAACCUUACCAAGGCUUAAAUGGGAAAUGACAGGCUUAGAAAUAGGCUUUUCUUCGGACAUUUUUCAAGGUGCUGCAUGGUUGUCGUCAGCUCGUGCCGUGAGGUGUUAGGUUAAGUCCUGCAACGAGCGCAACCCCUGUCACUAGUUGCCAUCAUUAAGUUGGGGACUCUAGUGAGACUGCCUACGCAAGUAGAGAGGAAGGUGGGGAUGACGUCAAAUCAUCACGGCCCUUACGCCUUGGGCCACACACGUAAUACAAUGGCCGGUACAGAAGGCAGCUACACAGCGAUGUGAUGCAAAUCUCGAAAGCCGGUCUCAGUUCGGAUUGGAGUCUGCAACUCGACUCUAUGAAGCUGGAAUCGCUAGUAAUCGCGCAUCAGCCAUGGCGCGGUGAAUACGUUCCCGGGCCUUGUACACACCGCCCGUCAAGCCAUGGAAGUCUGGGGUACCUGAAGUCGGUGACCGUAAUAGGAGCUGCCUAGGGUAAAACAGGUAACUAGGGCUAAGUCGUAACAAGGUAAC